AGAGUUUGAUCMUGGCUCAGAACGAACGCUGGCGGCGUGCUUAACACAUGCAAGUCGUGCGUGAAAGGGGCUUCGGCCCUGAGUAAAGCGGCAGACGGGUGAGUAACACGUGGGUAACCUACCCCUUGGCGGGGGAUAACCACUCGAAAGGGUGGCUAAUACCGCAUAAGACCACGUCCCUGCGGGGAUGAGGUAAAAGGCUUCGGCCGCCAUGGGAGGGGCCCGCGGCUGAUUAGCUAGUUGGUGAGGUAAYGGCUCACCAAGGCUACGAUCAGUAGCUGGUCUGAGAGGAUGAUCAGCCACACUGGUACUUAGACACGGACCAGACUCCUACGGGAGGCAGCAGUGGGGAAUAUUGCGCAAUGGGCGAAAGCCUGACGCAGCAACGCCGCGUGGGUGAAGAAGGCCUUUGGGUCGUAAAGCCCUGUCAGAUGGGAAGAAACCUGCGCAAGCAGCUGACGGUACCAUCAAAGGAAGCACCGGCUAACUCCGUGCCAGCAGCCGCGGUAAUACGGAGGGUGCAAGCGUUGUUCGGAAUCACUGGGCGUAAAGGGCGCGUAGGCGGUCUGCCAAGUCUGAUGUGAAAGCCCGGGGCUUAACCCCGGAAGUGCAUUGGAAACUGGUAGACUUGAGUUCGGGAGAGGAGAGCAGAAUUCCCGGUGUAGGGGUGAAAUCCGUAGAUAUCGGGAGGAAAACCAGUGGCGAAGGCGGCUCUCUGGAACGAAACUGACGUUGAGGCGCGAAAGCGUGGGUAGCAAACAGGAUUAGAUACCCUGGUAGUCC
rnacentral:rRNA from 1 species